rnacentral:lncRNA from 1 species
GAAAUUGUACCAAUUGCAAAAGUGUCAUCAUUUUCUUGAGGAACAAAAACAAUUUAAGCAUGUUACCCACAGGAGAGAACUUGCAACGGAGAGAUGCCAUAUAAAAAAUGUCAACCUUCUUAAAGAGCAAAAAACUAUUUAAGUGAUAAUUUGUUCUUAAAAACCACCUUAGUUUUUUAAAUGAAUGUGUAUGGGUUUUUGGUGUUUUCAUAAAUUAUCUUAGUUUCCAUCGUCUCAAUCUGUUUAGAGUCUGUUACUGGAAUGUAAAGAGAAAACUAGUAAUUCUUUCAUUUGUCCCACCCUGUAAAAGUCAAACCAUUGUUCAUUUAAUGCCUGUUGCCAAAGGACUUAUCAUGCAAAUGGAUGUGAAAUGGGGUUAAAUGUUUAGCACUAGAUUUGGACAAUAGACUCCCUUCCUUCUAAAGCUUUAGGUUUAAUGAAGGUCUUGAUUACACAGGUGCCCUGAAGAAUAAUUUCUCCCGCUCAACAGGUGCUUCAAAGCAAAGGUCAAUUUUCAUUGUACGUGACAAUAAAACAAAACUGGUCAUUACUCUGUGUCUCAAAUGGCAUGAACAAAUUUCAUUUCCAACAGUGAGAAAAAAACCUUUCAGUCAUACAAUGCAACAAGAGGUUUUUCCAUUAUUACAGUACAUUAGAAGGAGCUUGAGGCUACCUGCCUCUGCAGUGAGAUGGAAAAGAAGACUGACCAGGGCAAGGAACAUUUCCAGUUCUG